rnacentral:lncRNA from 1 species
UUUAAAUUCAAAAACUGUUUUUGAAAUGAGUGAUAAAAAUAUUGUCAACUCAUACUUUGUCAACCAACUUUGUUAUCCUUAUUUGUAGGUGUAGCACCACUCUUUGAAAUUUAUCAAUGUCACCACCAAAAAGACCCCCUUAGUCUUAGAUACAUUCAUAGUCAUAGAAGAGGGGAUAAGGGUUCAGUAAAAGGUUAAAUGUCUACUCGAACGCAGAACCAGAACCCAAUGCAAGGCAACAACGUUGCAAAUCUCGAAGAAGAAGUGGAGCAGAUAGCCCAGAAAGUGCUUGCGUACAGAACUACACUUCCAGAUCAGCUUAACUCGACGCUGGCUUCUCUUUUCUCUUCUUGACGACCCAUUAUUCUCUCGACCAGUUUGUCCGAAGACGAAUCUAAACUGGGACCCGAAUCGAAGGCAGGUCACAAUCUAGGUGCGUCUGCAAAUUUGAAUUUUGUUUUUACCAAUAUCUCUGCUGUGUAUUGUCGCUCUUAGGGUUUGUUGGAUAAAGGUAUCUUGUUCAACUUUGGAAAUAAUUUUUCAAAAAAUUUAAUUAUAGCUUAUUUUAUGUGGCUCUGUUUUUAUAAGAAGAUAAUAUUUUUUUGCUGUAACAUGAAAAUUUUCCUUUUUAUUCUCUGGUAAAUUUAGAUACAGGUGAAAAUGUGAGAUUAUAAUUGCCCUAAAUUUCUGGGCACAUCCUCAACUAAAAUUUUGAUAGAUUUUA